AGAGUUUGAUCCUGGCUCAGGACGAACGCUGGCGGCGUGCUUAACACAUGCAAGUCGAACGGUAAGGCCCUUCGGGGUACACGAGUGGCGAACGGGUGAGUAACACGUGGGUGAUCUGCCCUGCACUUUGGGAUAAGCCUGGGAAACUGGGUCUAAUACCGAAUAUGAUCAUGGCCUUCAUGGGUUGUGGUGGAAAGCUUUUGCGGUGUGGGAUGGGCCCGCGGCCUAUCAGCUUGUUGGUGGGGUAAUGGCCUACCAAGGCGACGACGGGUAGCCGGCCUGAGAGGGUGUCCGGCCACACUGGGACUGAGAUACGGCCCAGACUCCUACGGGAGGCAGCAGUGGGGAAUAUUGCACAAUGGGCGCAAGCCUGAUGCAGCGACGCCGCGUGAGGGAUGACGGCCUUCGGGUUGUAAACCUCUUUCAGCAGGGACGAAGCGCAAGUGACGGUACCUGUAGAAGAAGGACCGGCCAACUACGUGCCAGCAGCCGCGGUAAUACGUAGGGUCCGAGCGUUGUCCGGAAUUACUGGGCGUAAAGAGCUCGUAGGUGGUUUGUCGCGUUGUUCGUGAAAACUCACAGCUUAACUGUGGGCGUGCGGGCGAUACGGGCAGACUGGAGUACUGCAGGGGAGACUGGAAUUCCUGGUGUAGCGGUGGAAUGCGCAGAUAUCAGGAGGAACACCGGUGGCGAAGGCGGGUCUCUGGGCAGUAACUGACGCUGAGGAGCGAAAGCGUGGGGAGCGAACAGGAUUAGAUACCCUGGUAGUCCAA
rnacentral:rRNA from 1 species